rnacentral:rRNA from 1 species
AUUGAACGCUGGCGGCAGGCCUAACACAUGCAAGUCGAACGGAUGAAGGGAGCUUGCUCCUGGAUUCAGCGGCGGACGGGUGAGUAAUGCCUAGGAAUCUGCCUGGUAGUGGGGGAUAACGUCCGGAAACGGGCGCUAAUACCGCAUACGUCCUGAGGGAGAAAGUGGGGGAUCUUCGGACCUCACGCUAUCAGAUGAGCCUAGGUCGGAUUAGCUAGUUGGUGGGGUAAAGGCCUACCAAGGCGACGAUCCGUAACUGGUCUGAGAGGAUGAUCAGUCACACUGGAACUGAGACACGGUCCAGACUCCUACGGGAGGCAGCAGUGGGGAAUAUUGGACAAUGGGCGAAAGCCUGAUCCAGCCAUGCCGCGUGUGUGAAGAAGGUCUUCGGAUUGUAAAGCACUUUAAGUUGGGAGGAAGGGCAGUAAGUUAAUACCUUGCUGCUUUGACGUUACCAACAGAAUAAGCACCGGCUAACUUCGUG